GCGAACGCUGGCGGCAGGCCUAACACCUGCAAGUCGAACGGAUCCUUCGGGAUUAGUGGCGGACGGGUGAGUAACACGUGGGAACGUGCCCUUUGGUUCGGAACAACUCAGGGACACUUGAGCUAAUACCGGAUGUGCCCUUCGGGGGAAAGAUUUAUCGCCAUUGGAGCGGCCCGCGUCUGAUUAGCUAGUUGGUGAGGUAACGGCCCACCAAGGCGACGAUCAGUAGCUGGUCUGAGAGGAUGAUCAGCCACACUGGGACUGAGACACGGCCCAGACUCCUACGGGAGGCAGCAGUGGGGAAUCUUGCGCAAUGGGCGAAAGCCUGACGCAGCCAUGCCGCGUGAAUGAUGAAGGUCUUAGGAUUGUAAAAUUCUUUCAGCGGGGACGAUAAUGACGGUACCCGCAGAAGAAGCUCCGGCUAACUUCGUG
rnacentral:rRNA from 1 species